CUUUCGGUACUAUCGGUGACAGGUGGUGGCAUGGUUGUCGUCAGCUCGUGUCGUGAGAUGUUGGGUUAAGUCCCGCAACGAGCGCAACCCCUAUUGUUAGUUGCCAUCAUUCAGUUGGGCACUCUAGCGAGACUGCCGGUAAUAAACCGGAGGAAGGUGGGGAUGACGUCAAAUCAUCAUGCCCCUUAUGACCUGGGCUACACACGUGCUACAAUGGUUGGUACAACGAGUUGCGAGUCGGUGACGGCGAGCUAAUCUCUUAAAGCCAAUCUCAGUUCGGAUUGUAGGCUGCAACUCGCCUACAUGAAGUCGGAAUCGCUAGUAAUCGCGGAUCAGCACGCCGCGGUGAAUACGUUCCCGGGCCUU
rnacentral:rRNA from 1 species